GCGCAACGUGGUAACCGAGGAGACUGAAGUCAACGUGUGCGCACUUAUGACAAGGCAAAGAGGAGGGCCAAGAAGGCAGAAUGCGAGUUGGCUGUGGACACCACGGAGCUGUCGGCGAUGCUGCUGCGGGUGCAGCUGAGGCAUGAAGUACGGGUCGUGUCUGAGAGGCUGGAUGAAACUGAGCCUCUUAACAAGACCCGUGCAGUGUCUCAGCCUGCCUUGUCGACGGUGCCUCCAGUUCUUCCUGGGCUACCUGCCGACAAAUUAAAGAAUUAGAGGCAGCCGUGCGGGAUGAGGCUGUGGCUGCCACCUUGGGCAAGCACCUCCUGCAAAUAGGAGGGAAGUCACUGCGCGAGGUGGCAUCGUAUGCCAUGAAGGCUGUAAUGGCGCACCCCGUCCAAGUUCUUUACAGCCUUCAUAGCAGGAAGGGGAAGAGGGCAUUCAUCAAUUUGAAGUUAUGCCGGAUAGUCACAGGUAAAGCUUCCUCAGUCAUCCUUUUGCAUUGUUGAAGUAAUGUGUGU